UAUCAGUCUCUUUCCACUCUGUUUUUUGUACAUGUACCUGCCCAGGUGAGACCGCAAAGCAAAAUAAUCCCGUGGGCCCACCUAAUCUGGGACAGAUAAAAGAGCGUCCACCAAUAACUUGCUCAGGAGGAACUCUGUCUUUCUUUUUCAUGCAAUCACCAUAAACCUGGCAGGAUAAGGGCUUAUGCAUAAGUGAACUUUUGGAAAGCAUGAGGGGAAAUUAUUUGGAGCCCCAGGAGAGGAUUGUAAGUUCCUGACUGCAAGUGUGGGGAAUCGCUCUGAAGAAAUUGUUCAGAAAGCGUUGGGAAUUUUCAUUGUCGUGUGAAAAUGGGCACAUUCUAACUACAUCAAGUUAUUAUUUUUCUGUCUGUGAGAGAAUUGAUAUCAUUUGGAAGAAGUUCCAAAAUGAAGUUUUAAACUAGUAGUUGAUAUUUUGAUAAACUGAACAUUGUUUUUCAUAAGACAGAUGGGCAAGGAUAAAAUGUUUUAUGAAUUUUCAUAUGCUAAUGUUUUAUGCUUAGAGAAAUGGAGUAGUUACUAUUAUGUCACUUGUAGACUCAAUAAAUUGUGCAGAAAAGUCAAUGUGGGGACAAAAUAGUAUAUAAAGUUUAUGAAUUAUCACCAAUAAAUAUUAAGAAGGAAAAUAUUAGAAUGAAUAAUGCAAUGUAACAGAAAAAACUGAAAAAACGAUGUGAAUGUCAAUUUAAAGGGAGAAUUGUUAAAGGUUAACCAAUGUCUUUUUUAAUAUUCUACAAUCUUCAAUCAAAAUAGUCAGUUAUUGGUAACUUGAAAAUAUUUUCUUGAUUAAUUAUCUGAACUAUUUUUACCCAAUUUAACUAUUUUUGAGAUCUGAAUGCUAGCUACCAUUCUGUCUGUGGACAUUUUCUGAAGGUCCUAUGACUUCAUUUUCCAGGCAUAAUAUUCAACAUAUUUCAAACACGGAUGCACAGACACACACACACAAAGCUGACUCCUUUAUGGGCAUGUGUUGUAUGUAGUGGUACAAGGGCCCAUGCUUAGAAGGGUUCUGUUCCUGGUUUAAUACUCUGCUGUCACUGUCUCGAAAUUUUUAAUUAUCUUUGGACAAGAGAACUCUCAUUUUCGCUCGGCUCUGGGCCCUGCGAAUUCUGUAACUGGUCACAGACACUAGCAUAUAUUACGCUACAUGUUGUGGAUAACAAUGCAUUUCUUCAAGGUGGUUUUCAGUCUGGUGGGAAAAACAAAUGUUAAAUGUCUAAUCUCAAGGAUAAAGAAUAUUGUGAAAAGGAAAAGAUGAGAUGCAUUUCAAACUGGGGGUUUAAGGCAAUCUAGACCCAUUUUAAAAAUUAGUGAAACUAAGGUCCAAAGAAGGUUUAUUUACCUGUCCAAUGGAAAAAUAGCUAUCAGUGGAUAAUCUAUAAUUCUAAAUCAGAUCUGCUUGAUUUUCAAGCCUGAGCUGAAGGAUGAAUUUUAAAUUUUAUCAAAUGGCUACUAAGCAUCUAUUUACACAAUCAUGUUUUUUCUUGUUAGAUUCCUGAAUAAGCCACAAAUUUACCAUAAUGCUAAAUUCAAGUUGCUAAUAUUUAUUUAGAAAUUUGCAAUUAUAUUCAUAAUUAGUAUAUAUUUGUUCCUCAUAUUAUAUUCAACUGAGUGUGGGCUAUUUUUGUUAAACUUUGUUACCUUCAUAAAGGGAUUUGGGAAUUCUGUUGUUUUCUAGAAACUGUAACUGUUUAAGCAUUAUAUAAAGUAUUUGUUUGUGGAGGAUUGACUAGAGUUCAACAAUAAAACAUACUUAAAUUCA